GGAGGGGUAAGGGAGAAGGGAGGAGUUAGGGAGUAGGGAGAGGUUAGGGAGUAGGGAGGGGUUAGGGUGUAGGGAGAGGUUAGGGAUUAGGGAGGGGUUAGGGAGUAGGCAGGGGUUAAGGAGUAGGGAGGGGUUAGGCAGUAGGCAGGGGUUAGGGUGUAAGGAGAGGUUAGGGAUUAGGGAGGGGUUAGGGAGUAGGCAGGGGUUAGGGAGUAGGGAGGGGUUAAGGAGUAGGGAGGGGUAAGGGAGAAGGGAUGGGUUAGGGAGUAUGGAGGGGUU
ensembl:lncRNA